GACGAACGCUGGCGGCGUGCUUAACACAUGCAAGUCGAACGCUGAAGCUCAGCUUUUGUUGGGUGGAUGAGUGGCGAACGGGUGAGUAACACGUGAGUAACCUGCCCCCUUCUUUGGGAUAACUCCCGGAAACGGGUGCUAAUACUUGAUAUUCACUGUGCUUCGCUUGGGGGUUGGUGGAAAGGGUGGUUCUGGUGGGGGAUGGGCUCGCUGCCUAUCAGCGUGUUGGUGGGGUGAUGGCCUACCAAGGCUUUGACGGGUAGCCGGCCUGAGAGGGUGACCGGUCACAUUGGGACUGAGAUACGGCCCAGAGUCCUACGCGAGGGAGAAGUGGGGAAGAUUGUGCACUGGGCGCAAGAGUGAUGCAGCGCCGCGGCGUGAGGGAUGGAGGCCUUCGGGUUGUGAAACUCUUUCGCUCAUGGUCAAGCCGAAACAAUGGUUGUGGUGAGGGUAGUGGGUAAAGAAGCGCCGGCUAACUACGUG
rnacentral:rRNA from 1 species